rnacentral:rRNA from 1 species
AACGAACGCUGGCGGCGUGCUUAACACAUGCAAGUCGAACGAGAAGUACGUAGCAAUACGUAUUGUAAAGUGGCGCACGGGUGAGUAACACGUGGGUAAUCUGCCCUUGAGUUUGGGAUAACCCCGCGAAAGCGGGGCUAAUACCGAAUAAGACCACGGGGACCAAAGUUCCCGAGGUAAAAGAUGGCCUCUAUUUAUAAGCUAUCACUUGAGGAUGAGCCCGCGGCCCAUUAGCUAGUUGGUAGGGUAAUGGCCUACCAAGGCUAUGAUGGGUAGCUGGUCUGAGAGGACGAUCAGCCACACUGGAACUGAGACACGGUCCAGACUCCUACGGGAGGCAG